UUGACCUCGGAUCAGGUAGGACUACCCGCUGAACUUAAGCAUAUCAAUAAGCGGAGGAAAAGAAACCAACAGGGAUUGCCCCAGUAACGGCGAGUGAAGCGGCAACAGCUCAAAUUUGAAAUCUGGCCUUCGGGUCCGAGUUGUAAUUUGGAGAGGAUGCUUCUGGCGCGGCGCCGUCCGAGUUCCUUGGAACAGGACGCCAUAGAGGGUGAGAGCCCCGUACGGGCGGCCGCCUAGCCUUUGUGAAGCUCCUUCGACGAGUCGAGUAGUUUGGGAAUGCUGCUCAAAAUGGGAGGUAAAUUUCUUCUAAAGCUAAAUAUUGGCCAGAGACCGAUAGCGCACAAGUAGAGUGAUCGAAAGAUGAAAAGCACUUUGAAAAGAGGGUUAAAAAGUACGUGAAAUUGUUGAAAGGGAAGCGCCUGUGACCAGACUUGCGACCCGCGGAUCAUCCGGUGUUCUUCACCGGUGCACUCCGCGGGCUGCAGGCCAGCAUCGGUUUUCCUAGGGGGAUAAAGGUCGCGGGAACGUAGCUCUUUCGGGAGUGUUAUAGCCCGUGGCGUCAUGCCUCUGGGGGGACCGAGGACCGCGCUUCGGCAAGGAUGCUGGCGUAAUGGUCACCGGCGACCCGUCUU
rnacentral:rRNA from 1 species